rnacentral:lncRNA from 1 species
AUUGUCAUGUCAUCUCUCCUGCCGAUGAUCAUCUGCAUAGUGCGAGCGGGAGAAGUCAGUUUUGGAGCUCUUUGGGGUUUGUUCGUGUCCGAGGGCAAAGUUAGCCCGUCCCCGAUCACUCAACAAUUCUUUCAAGUGUCCAUGAUUUAGCAUUCUCACUACCUCAUGUCGCAGUCCUAUGCAAUCUUCGAUUUUGUGACCCAUUUCCUGGUGGAAUUCAUAGAGAGCGUUCGACUUCCGAGUGCUUGGAUCAGACUUCAUAUUUUGUAAUCAUCAUACCUUUGUACCGAGUUUCUCUAGUGCACACACUAUUUAUGAAGGAGAGACAUAGAAGUUUUGAGCAGUUAGGAGCGGAGGCAUACCUUUCUCAUGACGAUAUGGCACUGCAUGCG